rnacentral:rRNA from 1 species
GACGAACGCUGGCGGCGUGCUUAACACAUGCAAGUCGAACGCUGAAGCUUGGUGCUUGCACUGGGUGGAUGAGUGGCGAACGGGUGAGUAAUACGUGAGUAACCUGCCCUUGACUCUGGGAUAAGCCUGGGAAACUGGGUCUAAUACUGGAUACGACAUGUCACCGCAUGGUGGUGUGUGGAAAGGGUUUUACUGGUUUUGGAUGGGCUCACGGCCUAUCAGCUUGUUGGUGGGGUAAUGGCUCACCAAGGCGACGACGGGUAGCCGGCCUGAGAGGGUGAGCGGACACGCUGGGACUGAGACACGGCCCAGACUCCUACGGGAGGCGACGGUGGAGAAUAUUGCACAAUGGGCGGAAGCCAGAUGCAGCGCCGCAACGUGAGGGAUGACGGCAUUCGGGUUGUAAACCUCUUUCAGCACGGAAGAAGCGAAAGUGACGGUACGUGCAGAAGAAGCGCCGGCUAACUACGUG